GUCUUGAGUCAUGCAAGACACUUUUACUUCACUUUAAUAAUUUCUUCAUCCCAUUCUUAGAGAGAAACGCAAAAGAGCUCUCGGACAGAUUUAUGGGUCUUCUUGCGUGAAGAUUUUCAACCAUUUUUCCUCAUGAUCGCACUUGAAGUUUUAUAAGAAACGCGGAGAUCGAGGGAAACUAUUUGAGAGCUACAAAGAUGCAAGCCACAGUAAAGUCAUUCUCUUUUAUGGCAGAACAAGUGCUGCGUGAAAAGCAAAGACGGAGCUCGUUAGUCCCCCCGUGAAAUGUUAUCGUCUUAUAUUACAACAUUUGUAGUUUAUUAAAUGUGCCUCUGCUUAUUCAAUUAUUUAGCACAUAUAUAGUGAAUUGUGGCUUUCGUGCAACAAAGUGUGUAUGAUAUGGCGUAAUUCAU